UUUUGUAUAAUGGGUCAGCGACUUAUAUUCUGUAGCAAGGUUAACCGUAUAGGGGAGCCGGAGGGAAACCGAGUCUUAAUUGGGCGUUAAGUUGCAGGGUAUAGACCCGAAACCCGGUGAUCUAGCCAUGGGCAGGUUGAAGGUUGGGUAACACUAACUGGAGGACCGAACCGACUAAUGUUGAAAAAUUAGCGGAUGACCUGUGGCUGGGGGUGAAAGGCCAAUCAAACCGGGAGAUAGCUGGUUCUCCCCGAAAGCUAUUUAGGUAGCGCCUCGUGAAUUCAUCUCCGGGGGUAGAGCACUGUUUCGGCUAGGGGGCCAUCCCGGCUUACCAACCCGAUGCAAACUGCGAAUACCGGAGAAUGUUAUCACGGGAGACACACGGCGGGUGCUAACGUCCGUCGUGAAGAGGGAAACAACCCAGACCGCCAGCUAAGGUCCCAAAGUCAUGGUUAAGUGGGAAACGAUGUGGGAAGGCCCAGACAGCCAGGAUGUUGGCUUAGAAGCAGCCAUCAUUUAAAGAAAGCGUAAUAGCUCACUGGUCGAGUCGGCCUGCGCGGAAGAUGUAACGGGGCUAAACCAU
rnacentral:rRNA from 1 species